GUGAACGCUGGCGGUAGGCCUAGCACAUGCAAGUCGAACGGCAGCACAGUAAGAGCUUGCUCUUACGGGUGGCGAGUGGCGGACGGGUGAGGAAUACAUCGGAAUCUACUUUUUCGUGGGUGAUAACGUAGGGAAACUUACGCUAAUACCGCAUACGACCUACGGGUGAAAGCAGGGGAUCUUCGGACCUUGCGCGAUUGAAUGAGCCGAUGUCGGAUUAGCUAGUUGGCGGGGUAAAGGCCCACCAAGGCGACGAUCCGUAGCUGGUCUGAGAGGAUGAUCAGCCACACUGGAACUGAGACACGGUCCAGACUCCUACGGGAGGCAGCAGUGGGGAAUAUUGGACAAUGGGCGCAAGCCUGAUCCAGCCAUACCGCGUGGGUGAAGAAGGCCUUCGGGUUGUAAAGCCCUUUUGUUGGGAAAGAAAAGCAGCAGGUUAAUACCCCGCUGUUCUGACGGUACCCAAAGAAUAAGCACCGGCUAACUUCGUG
rnacentral:rRNA from 1 species